rnacentral:ncRNA from 2 species
CGCCGGCCUGAGAGAAUCGGCGCUCCUGUUGGAAUCGAAAUACGGAACACGGUGCGAAUCCGUGGCGGGCCCGCCGCUGUAACCGGGGACGAAGACUGCAUGGUCGCUAGACCAGCCACUUGCGAGCUUGACUCCGCAGGGAAGGCGCAGCGCUUCGGCUGAUCCGGAAGCCAGAAGACGAAUCGAUUCCUGACUGGAGCC